CCAUGCACAUGGGUGAGUAUAAUUUGUAGGCCCAAGAUUGAUUAAAAUUAACUUUUGCGUUUUGGUUAUGGCUCAUUAAAUCGGCGACUUGCGUGUCCAGUCCGAAUAGUCCAAAUGGCAAUUGCUGUCAUUUAGUUACAGAACGUUAGGCAUAACGAACCGAAUAUGUUUUGGGAUCUAUUGGGCGGCAUAUUUGAUUUCAUAAUGGGUCUGAUAUUUCCCAGUUCCGAUGGCGAUGAUGAACCGGAUUCUUCGGAGGUGGAAACUACAACCUGAAGUGCAAUAAACGUCCAUGAUAAGUCCACAGCAGCUAUUCUUGAUAUAUUUCAUAUAAUAUAAUUGGUAUUAAUUCAUAAAAGACGGUGCUUAAAUAUAAUCUACGAAGGGUAAUAAUAUA